rnacentral:rRNA from 1 species
CCCUUAGAUGUUCUGGGCCGCACGCGUGCUACACUGAGUGGAUCAGCGGGUCAGGUUGCGCGAAAGUGUUUCCUAAUCUUUAAAUCCGCUCGUGAUGGGGAUUGACGGUUGCAAUUUUCCGUCAUGAACGAGGAAUACCUUGUAAGCGCGGGUCAUCAUCCCGCGCUGAAUACGUCCCUGCCCUUUGUACACACCGCCCGUCGCUCCUACCGAUUGAGUGGUCCGGUGAGGCUUUGGGAUCUGAGCGGAAAGAGCGUUUCGCUGUUUCUGCUCGGAGAACUCAGUCGAACCUUAUCAUUUAGAGGAAGGAGAAGUCGUAACA